rnacentral:rRNA from 1 species
GGUUGACCUCGGAUCAGGUAGGGAUACCCGCUGAACUUAAGCAUAUCAAUAAGCGGAGGAAAAGAAACCAACAGGGAUUGCCUCAGUAACGGCGAGUGAAGCGGCAAGAGCUCAAAUUUGAAAUCUGGCUCCUUCGGGGUCCGAGUUGUAAUUUGUAGAGGAUGCUUCGGGUGCGGCCCCCGUCUAAGUGCUCUGGAACGGGCCAUCGGAGAGGGUGAAAAUCCCGUCUGGGAUGGGGUGUCCGCGUCCAUGUGAAGCUCCUUCGACGAGUCGAGUUGUUUGGGAAUGCAGCUCUAAAUGGGUGGUAAAUUUCAUCUAAAGCUAAAUACUGGCCGGAGACCGAUAGCGCACAAGUAGAGUGAUCGAAAGAUGAAAAGCACUUUGAAAAGAGAGUUAAACAGCACGUGAAAUUGUUGAAAGGGAAGCGCUUGCGACCAGACUCGCUUCCGGGGUUCAGCCGGCUUUCGGGCCGGUGUACUUCCCCGGGGGCGGGCCAGCGUCGGUUUGGGCGGCCGGUCAAAGGCCCCUGGAAUGUAACGCCUCUCGGGGCGCCUUAUAGUCAGGGGUGUCAUGCGGCCAGCCUGGACCGAGGAACGCGCUUCGGCACGGACGCUGGCAUAAUGGUCGUAAACGACC